UACGUAGGGGGCAAGCGUUAUCCGGAUUUACUGGGUGUAAAGGGAGCGUAGACGGCAGAGCAAGUCUGAAGUGAAAGCCCGCGGCCCAACUGCGGGACUGCUUUGGAAACUGCCCGGCUAGAGUGCUGGAGAGGUAAGCGGAAUUCCUAGUGUAGCGGUGAAAUGCGUAGAUAUUAGGAGGAACACCAGUGGCGAAGGCGGCUUACUGGACAGUAACUGACGUUGAGGCUCGAAAGCGUGGAGAGCAAACAGG
rnacentral:rRNA from 1 species